UACGGAGGGUGCAAGCGUUAUCCGGAUUCACUGGGUUUAAAGGGUGCGUAGGUGGGUUGGUAAGUCCGUGGUGAAAUCUCCGAGCUUAACUCGGAAACUGCCGUGGAUACUAUCAAUCUUAAUACUGUGGAGGUAAGCGGAAUAUGUCAUGUAGCGGUGAAAUGCUUAGAUAUGACAUAGAACACCGAUAGCGGAGGCAGCUUGCUACACAGUCAUUGACACUGAGGCACGAA
rnacentral:rRNA from 1 species